rnacentral:rRNA from 1 species
GGCUCAGGAUGAACGCUAAUAGUAUGCUUAACACAUGCAAGUCUAACGGGAGAAAUUUCGUGGCGAACGGGUGAGGAUAUACAAAAAAUUACCUUUCAGUUUAGUACAAAUUUACCUUAGGUAGAAAAAUGCUAAAUAUACUAAAAAAGGUUUUAUUAUAAUUAAUAAUUCCGCUGAAAGAUAUUUUUGUUAAAGAUUAGGUUGUUGGUAAUUUAAUAGCUUACCAAGCCUACGAUCUUUAGUUGGUCUUAGAGGAUGAUCAACCACACUGGAACUGAAACAAGGUCCAGGCUGAUACGUCGGCCAGCAGUGAGGAAUAUUGGACAAUGAACGAAAGUUUGAUCCAGCAAUACUAUAUGGGUGAUGACGGCUUAUUAAGUUGUAAGAUCCUUUCAUUAAGGAAGAUAAUGACAUUACUUAAAGAAGUUUAGUCCCGGCUAAUACUCGUGCCAGCAGCCGCGGUAAUACGGGAGGGGCAAGCGUUAUCCGGCAUGACUGGGCGUAAAGAGUUCGUAGACGGUAAAGUAAGUUUCUUGUAAAAUUUUAAAACUUAAUUUUAAAACUGCAAUUUAUACUGCUUUACUUUGAGUUUAAUACAGAAAAGUAUAAUUUUAUACGGAAGGGUGAAAUCUGCAGAUAUAUAAAGGAAUGCCAAAAGCGAAGGCAACUUUUUAGUAUAAACUGACGUUGAGGAACGAAAGUGUGGGUAGCAAACAGGAUUAGAGACCCUGGUAGUCCACACCGUAAAUUCUGAGUGCUGUGAUUUAAUUACGAUUACUUUAAAAAGUAUCGUUUAGAUCUUUUAAGCUAACGCCAUAAGCACUCCGCCUGAAGAGUACGAUCGCAAGGGUGAAACU